ACUAAAACCUUAUCAUAUAAACAAUUUCAGACAGCAAAACCGUGAAAGAAUUAAGCUACCUAAGGCGACUAACUCGUUUAUGGAAAACAAGAGUUUGGUGUACACUGUUCGUGAAUUGCUGAUGCCAAUGUUCUGAAAGUGAAGACGUACGAAAUACAAUUUAAGAAGUUCCAAUAAUUUAACAUAGCCCAUUUGCUGUAUAAUUUUAUGGUAAGAGUAGGUUUUUAUUUCUGUAAUAAACUAUUAAUUUGGUUUGGCAACCAAACAUUGGCAAAAAUUAAGGGGCCAUAUGAUUAAUCUUUAAAAUGAGUCUGGUUAAUUAUCUUUAUCAGAUAAUUCAAAUAAAAACCAAUUUUUUACUUUUGCAAAAAACUAUCGAAUGACGCUCAAAUUAAAUCAACAAAACUAAUGAAAUCGUUUUAAGACCAUAACGGUCUCUUUUUAAGUAAAUAUUAUAUCUUAGCAAAAAAGAUGUUGAUUUAAGGAUGGCUAGAAACAUCAAACGUUAAAAAAAUUAACCAAUUUCAUCUGCAGCUAUCGAUAACCUUAGGCCAAAGAUAGAUUUCACUACCACAGACUGUUUCAGUCGAGUUAUCAAUUAAAAAUUAUUAAUUACAGUGAAUUACGUAGUAAUACAUCUGUAAUGGCUAACAUAUAUACCAAUUGAGCUAUAGCUUGUAUCUGGUAUACGGAGUUCAUAGAUAUUAUUCAAUGUAUAAUUAUUAUUGAUAUAAUAAAUACAUAGUAGACUUAUAUAGUUAAAAAUACAACUUAAUAUAGGUGUUUUUUUUUUCGUAACAUAAUUUUAAUUUGAAAUUAUUAAUGUUAGAUAAGGAAAGAUAUUAUUUUUAAACAUAUUGACUAUUUAUAAUUUUAUUAAUACACACAUCCUCAUCAAGUUCAUUAACUAUUUUAUUAAUUGCUUUAUUUAUUUGAUUUUAGAUUCUGAAUGGAAUGAAAAAUGUAUAGGUUUUACAAUGAUGUUUAUUAUUUUUUUGUAUGAACAUUUUUUUACCGGAAAACAUACUUCGAUUAUCAAGUAUAGCUCUCUUUCUGAAAGGAAAUGUUCUCUGGGUUGUACUUUAGAAAAGUCAUUCUUUUGAAAUUCUGAUUUAUAUUUGAACUAAUGAAGAAACUUCCAUCUUUUGAUUAGAAACAGACUGAAAUAUUAAAAUGACUUUAAAAUAAAGCUUAAACAAUUCCAUAAUGAUUAAAAAAAACAGAAAUCAAAUUCACUUAAAAUCCUCUGAGAUAAUUGCUGGUUCAUGAUAAAAAAUAACUAUAUAGAUAUGUUUAUGACACGUUCAUUUUCUUUAGAGGUUCAAAUAGACAAGCAGAAAAUUUAGUAUAGUAUUUAAGUAAAAUAAAUUAAAUUUCUUAUAUCUUACAGUUUCCAUAAUAAACAAUAGAUUUAAUUUUAGUAUUUACAGAAAACCUACACAAACUGAUGCUAUAAUACCACACGAUUCUAAUCACCCUUAUUCUCAAAAAAUAUCAUUUUUUAAUUUGAUAGUCUAUAGGCUUGAACAUAAACCAUUAAAUAAGCAUAAUUAUCAACACGAGCUCAAUAUUAUUUAUAAUAUAGCCUAUAGAAACAAUUUCAAUUUAAAUACUAUUAAAAAAAAAAGAUAAAUGUAUUAAAGAAAAAAUAAUAUACAACUCACCAAAUAAUUUUGUUAACUAUUGUAGCAUGAAAUAUUGAAAUAAUAUGUAUAAAAAAUUUCUUAAAAUUCUGAACAAUAAUACAAAUAUUGUAAAAAUCGUUUUUAAGACUAAUAAUAAUUUAAUCAAACAUAUAAAGGAUAAAACUAAAAACUUCACAAAAAAUCCCCUUUCUUUUGAAAAUCUUGAUGUAUAUAAACUUGAAUGUAACUGUUAUACAUUUUUAUAUAGGUAAGACAAAUAGACAUUUUAAAAAAAGAUAAAAAGAACACAUUUUUAUAAUAAAAUUUAAAAGACUGCCCCUAAUUCAAAUUUCCGUAAACAUGUUUUAGAAAAUAACCAUAAUACAAGUUUUGAUAUUACUACAGACUUAGAAAUAUCAAAUACCCAAAAUAACCUUUACAUUAUAAUAAUAUUUUAAAUGUUCAAACCGAUUUUAAAAAGAAUAUCUUAUACCAAUUCAUUCUGGAUAAUAAAUAAUAACCAAAUAAUUUAUAUUUCUUAGCAUACCUAUGUUUAAUAAUAACUAAUUUUUAAUAUUCUCUCCUAUUAUAAUAAAUUAUUUCUAUAUUCUAUGUAAAACGAUUAAUUUAUAUAAUUUUUUUUUCUAUGUAUUCCUUCAUUAAAUAUUUUAUAUUCAAUCACGUUUUAGAUUUUUACUGUGAUAUACUUGAUGAUCAUUAAUUUUUAAUUAGAAACCGGUCGUAUAAUAUAUUUAUCACAAUAUUCCAGGCGACGCAUUCAUUCAUUUAUUCAUUUUGUUUUUAUGUGUAUACAUUUUUUUAUUUAUAUAUUUAUUUACUAUAUUAUUUUAAAUAGUUGAUUAAUAAUUUUCUACCAAUCGAAUCGAAAGCUUCUUCUAAACAGAAAAAAAAAUAAGUGAAAUGUAACUCUACAAAAAAAAAAAAAAAAUAAUAAGCUAGCUCCUAUGUGUUUAAAAACCUUAAUAUAUGCACUAAAAAAUGGUACCACACAUUUUUUUUUUUUUACCAGUUUAAUUAAAUAUUAUUAGUUAUUUAAGAAUUUAAAAUAAGAAAAACAUCUAUCUACCUAAUUUAAUUACAUGCCAUAUGAUGACUAAUUAAAUCAGAAACUAGUGUGACAAAAAAAAUAGUAAUCUUAUGUUUAAUAGAUGUUUGUUUCUUAAAUGUUUAAAACAAAAAAAAUGUCCUAAAAAAGUUAAGAUAUUCUGAGAUAUUAAGAUGUGUACUAUGUAUAUUAAUCACUCUGUUUAUGUUAAUUAAUAUACAGGUACAAUAUUUGUAUAAAUAUAAUUUUUAUUAUAUUUUUUUUUUAAUUUUAGACUAUUGUGGGAAGUACGCACAACAUUGUUAACUUUAAACAACCUUUCUAAUCGAAAAGGAUCAUUGUUAUACACACAAUUGUGAGAUUCAAAAAUACCAAAAGCCUUAUACUAGCUACACUUAAGUGGCUGAAUUUUGGAAAUGCCGCAUCAAGAUGCACACGUCGUAUUCAUCAGGUUUGUAUG
rnacentral:lncRNA from 1 species